AGUAAAGGGGGCAGGAACUAAAAGGAAUGUCUCUAAGAUGAGUCAGCCCCCUUUAUGAAAUUUUCCUCUAAGUUCUACCAAAGAUACCUCCUUGCCUAUCCUUAGCUGGUAAAUAUAGUUCCUUAGCAUCCUAAAACCACUAAUGCCCUUGGUAAGGUAGAAGGAGAGAGGAGCUGUUUGGUAGGCAUUCGACAUCUCUGCCAUCUGAGCUACUCAAGAUGUGGUAGGCAGCCCAUGUCUGUCUGUGAGCAGAUAAGUACAGCAGUAGUCUGAGAAGCCCUAUGUGCCACAAGUCCUCUGUCUGCCCCCGGCCACUGCCAGCAUCACGAGGCCAGGAUCUGACCAGCCGGGUCUGUGUGAGAAAGCUGGACCACCACUGCUGCCGCUGCCCUGGGCACGAGAGCGGUGAGCUGACCCUGGAAAUUGCUUGUGGGUAAAAUCCGAGGGGGGACUGAAGGGAAUCGGGAAUCUGGCUGCAGGGAGCAAUGAGGACCGUAAAGAUGCUGGACCGUAAACAGCAUCUUCUCGUUUUAUGUGUCUCCACGGUGGCGGAUGUUUUCUCAGCCCGAAUGUCUAUGUCAAGAGCCUAACCUUGGAGCAGAAUCUACACGCUCUUCCCUCCUUCUUUCCCCUUUCCCAG
rnacentral:lncRNA from 9 species